AAAGAAGCUUGUUAUUUCAACAUCAAGCUGGUUGGGGGGGAGAAACGAUUUCCUUGGAUGUGCCUACAUUUUUGUGGGAUCUUUUUCGCUCUUGAUUUCUAUAUUCUUCACAUUGCUACACAUGAAAUCGAGGCCCUUCAUGGAAACAAACUUUUCAUCAAGGAAUAAAAGAUGCAGUUCGGAAUCGGAUUAAUGAUAUAUUGCUUUGAG
rnacentral:misc_RNA from 1 species